rnacentral:misc_RNA from 1 species
AAGUAAAAGUCGUAACAAGGUUUCCGUAGGUGAACCUGCGGAAGGAUCAUUCAUAAUAAGUGUUUUUACUGCACUUUUUAAAAAUAGUACUCACCUUGUGUGCAAUGUUGUGCUAGAGAUCCUCGGAUUUCUUUGCACCUACACCAACCUAAUAACCUUGAACCACUUUGUCUGAAAAACUAUUAUGAAUACUUAAUUCAAAAUACAACUUUCAACAACGGAUCUCUUGGCUCUCGCAUCGAUGAAGAACGCAGC